AUACAGAGGUGGCAAGCGUUGUUCGGAAUUACUGGGCGUAAAGGGCGCGUAGGCGGCCUUCUAAGUCUUGUGUGAAAUCCCUCGGCUCAACUGAGGAACUGCACGGGAUACUGGAUGGCUUGAGUUCGGGAGAGGGAAGCGGAAUUCCGGGUGUAGCGGUGAAAUGCGUAGAUAUCCGGAGGAACACCGGUGGCGAAGGCGGCUUCCUGGACCGAUUACUGACGCUGAGGCGCGAAAGCUAGGGGAGCAAACGGGA
rnacentral:rRNA from 1 species